rnacentral:rRNA from 1 species
AGAAUCAACGCUGGCGGCGUGCCUAACACAUGCAAGUCGCACGAGAAAGUGGAGCAAUCCAUGAGUAAAGUGGCGACCGGGUGAGUAACACGUGACUACCUACCCUUGAGUGGGGGAUAACCUCGGGAAACCGAGGCUAAUACCGCAUAAUAUCGAAAGAUCAAAGGAGUAAUCCGCUUUUGGAGGGGGUCGCGGCUGAUUAGCUAGUUGGUAAGGUAAUGGCUUACCAAGGCGAAGAUCGGUAGCCGGCCUGAGAGGGCACACGGCCACACUGGCACUGAAACACGGGCCAGACUCCUACGGGAGGCAGCAGUGGGGAAUCUUGCACAAUGGAGGAAACUCUGAUGCAGCGACGCCGCGUGAGCGAUGAAGCCCUUCGGGGUGUAAAGCUCUUUCGACGGGAACGAUAAUGACGGUACCCGAAGAAGAAGCUGCGGCUAACUACGUGCCAGCAGCCGCGGUAAUACGUAGGCAGCGAGCGUUGUUCGGAAUUACUGGGCGUAAAGAGUGUGUAGGUGGUGCUCUAAGUUUGGUGUGAAAUCUCCCGGCUUAACUGGGAGGGUGCAUCGAAAACUGGAGUGCUUGAGUAUGGGAGAGGUAAGCGGAAUUCCUGGUGUAGCGGUGAAAUGCGUAGAUAUCAGGAGGAACACCUGUGGUGUAGACAGCUUACUGGACCAUCACUGACACUGAGACACGAAAGCGUGGGUAGCAAACAGGAUUAGAUACCCUGGUAGUCCACGCCCUAAACGAUGCAUACUUGGUGUGAGCCAUUCAUUUGGUUCGUGCCGGAGCUAACGCGUUAAGUAUGCCGCCUGGGGAGUACGGUCGCAAGGCUGAA